CAAAAAUCGGGCCUGUGUCAUACCUCGAUUUGGUUUUUGCUUAGUGCCGGGUAGUUUGAAAGGACAGAGAAGAUUCGUUACCUGUGUGUGUUCUUCCUGACGUCACGCCUCAGCCACCCUGUCACAAACGUCAACAUAACUUUAAACAACACAUAGAAAAACAUGUGAUCACUUCCAGGAGUGAACAACAUCGGAAGAUGUGAUCUGCAAUCCGAAGGAGAGCCCAUCAUCGUCAUCGUGCAGGGGCAUUAAUGAGGUUGGCCAGAGAAAUCGAGGAUGCCGCAAGGCUGUUGGCUGUACAAGAGCUCGAAGGAGGAGAACCCUGUCGAACUCUGAGGCACCUCUCUCACUGCAAAAAGGAGGUUAGGCAGUCGAGGGGUUCUCCUUUGUUGGAGACCCUGGCAAGUGGUUCACAGUAUUGUCCCUCUGGAAGUCUGAGGUAUGACAGGUAAGCAGGUCGGUGCUCCCCCUCCAGGACAGUGGAGGCUCAGGUGAGUUGGGCUAUUGUCUUGUUACAGGACAAUGGGACAACGCAGGUAAGUCGGGGAACUCCAGGAAACAACGGUAGUACAGGCAGGCCUGGUGAGUGACCCCUCCUCCAGGAAACAACGAUUGCACAGGUAAGUGGGGAAGUGUCUCCCUCUCCUGGAAGACAAUGGUAGUACAGGUAGGUCAGGUAAGGGACACCUCCUCCAGGAAACAACGGUUGCACAGGUAAGUUGUAAUUAAGCUUCCCACUCCAGGAAACAGUGGAAGCACUGGUAAGUUAGGUUAUUGUAUCCCUCUCCUGGAAGACAAUGGUAGCACAGGUAAGUUGUAGUUAAGCCUCCCACUCCAGGAAACAGUGGAAGCACCGGUAAGUUGGGGUAUUGUAUCCCUCUCCUGGAAGACAAUGGUAGCACAGGUAAGUUGUAGUUAAGCCUCCCACUCCAGGAAACAGUGGAAGCACCGGUAAGUUGGGGUAUUGUCUCCCUCUCCAGGAAGACAAUGGUAGCACAGGUAAGUUGUAGUAAAGCCUCCCACUCCAGGAAACAGUGGAGGCACAGGUAAGUGGCAAACUGUCUCCCUCUCCAGGAAACAGAGGUACUGCAACUGGUUUGGUCGACAGACUCCCGCUAAUGAACAGCUGAAGAAAUCCCGGGUGGGGGAUGGGCGAA